rnacentral:rRNA from 1 species
UUCGGUGGGGAUUAGUGGCGAACGGGUGAGUAACACGUGGGCAAUCUGCCCUGCACUCUGGGACAAGCCCUGGAAACGGGGUCUAAUACCGGAUACUGACCCGCUUGGGCAUCUUGGAGGAUCGAAAGCUCCGGCGGUGCAGGAUGAGCCCGCGGCCUAUCAGCUUGUUGGUGAGGUAAUGGCUCACCAAGGCGACGACGGGUAGCCGGCCUGAGAGGGCGACCGGCCACACUGGGACUGAGACACGGCCCAGACUCCUACGGGAGGCAGCAGUGGGGAAUAUUGCACAAUGGGCGAAAGCCUGAUGCAGCGACGCCGCGUGAGGGAUGACGGCCUUCGGGUUGUAAACCUCUUUCAGCAGGGAAGAAGCGAAAGUGACGGUACCUGCAGAAGAAGCGCCGGCUAACUACGUGCCAGCAGCCGCGGUAAUACGUAGGGCGCGAGCGUUGUCCGGAAUUAUUGGGCGUAAAGAGCUCGUAGGCGGCUUGUCACGUCGGUUGUGAAAGCCCGGGGCUUAACCCCGGGUCUGCAGUCGAUACGGGCAGGGCUAGAGUUCGGUAGGGGAGAUCGGAAUUCCUGGUGUAGCGGUGAAAUGCGCAGAUAUCAGGAGGAACACCGGUGGCGAAGGCGGAUCUCUGGGCCGAUACUGACGCUGAGGAGCGAAAGCGUGGGGAGCGAACAGGAUUAGAUA